CUACAUGAAGCUGGAAUCGCUAGUAAUCGCGAAUCAGAAUGUCGCGGUGAAUACGUUCCCGGGUCUUGUACACACCGCCCGUCACACCAUGGGAGUCGGAAAUGCCCAAAGUCAGUGACCUAACCGAAAGGGAGGAGCUGCCGAAGGUGGAGCCGGUAACUGGGGUGAAGUCGUAACAAGGUAGC
rnacentral:rRNA from 1 species